GACGAACGCUGGCGGCGUGCUUAACACAUGCAAGUCGAACGGAAAGGCCCUGCUUUUGUGGGGUGCUCGAGUGGCGAACGGGUGAGUAACACGUGAGUAACCUGCCCUUGACUUUGGGAUAACUUCAGGAAACUGGGGCUAAUACCGGAUAGGAGCUCCUGCUGCAUGGUGGGGGUUGGAAAGUUUCGGCGGUUGGGGAUGGACUCGCGGCUUAUCAGCUUGUUGGUGGGGUAGUGGCUUACCGAGGCUUUGACGGGUAGCCGGCCUGGGAGGGUGACCGGCCACAAUGGGACUGCGAGACGGCGCAGACUCGUACGGGAGGCAGCAGGGGGAAAUAUUGCACAAUGGGCGGAAGCCUGAGACGGCAACGCCGCGUGCGUGAUGACGGCCUGCGGGUUGUAAAACGCUUUCGCCUGUGACGAAGCGUGAGUGACGGUAAUGGGUAAAGAAGCACCGGCUAACUACGUG
rnacentral:rRNA from 1 species